UACGGGGGGGGCAAGCGUUGUUCGGAAUUACUGGGCGUAAAGGGCUCGUAGGCGGCCAACUAAGUCAGACGUGAAAUCCCGGGGCUCAACCCCGGAACUGCAUCCGAUACUGCCAUGCUAGAGGAUUGGAGAGGUAGCUGGAAUUCCUGGUGUAGCGGUGAAAUGCGCAGAUAUCAGGAGGAACACCGAUGGCGAAGGCAGGUCUCUGGGCAUUAACUGACGCUGAGGAGCGAAAGCAUGGGGAGCGAACAGG
rnacentral:rRNA from 1 species